AAACUGUGACUCUUUAAUGGCGUCCACCUGAACAUGUUCCAGAAGGAGGACAUUUCAUCAAAAUUGUAAAAUGAAAUCUAAGAAGAUGAGCUGAAUUACUGCAGGAAAGACUAGUUUUAAUAACGUUGAGAAUGGCGUCGGGUUCAGGAGGAGAUAGGAAACGGGUACGACUGGAUAUAACAACACAACGU